CUAGCGACUUCAGUAGUUUGAUCCUGGCUCGGAGCGAACGCUGGCGGCAGGCUUAACACAUGCAAGUCGAGCGGGCGUAGCAAUACGUCAGCGGCAGACGGGUGAGUAACACGUGGGAACGUACCUUUUGGUUCGGAACAACUGAGGGAAACUUCAGCUAAUACCGGAUAAGCCCUAACGGGGAAAGAUUUAUCGCCGAAAGAUCGGCCCGCGUCUGAUUAGCUAGUUGGUGAGGUAAUGGCUCACCAAGGCGACGAUCAGUAGCUGGUCUGAGAGGAUGAUCAGCCACACUGGGACCGAGACACGGCCCAG
rnacentral:rRNA from 1 species